rnacentral:tRNA from 1 species
UCCAUGGUGACUCAGAUGACAGAGAAUCUGCCUGCAAUGCAGGAGACCCAGGUUCAAUCCCUGGGUUGGGAA